rnacentral:rRNA from 1 species
GACGAACGCUGGCGGCGUGCUUAACACAUGCAAGUCGAGCGGUAAGGCCCUUUCGGGGGUACACGAGCGGCGAACGGGUGAGUAACACGUGGGUGACCUGCCCUCAGCUCUGGGAUAAGCCUGGGAAACUGGGUCUAAUACCGGAUAUGACUCCAUGACGCAUGUUGUGGGGUGGAAAGCCUUGUGCGGCUGAGGAUGGGCCCGCGGCCUAUCAGCUUGUUGGUGGGG